rnacentral:rRNA from 1 species
ACUCAAAGGAAUAGACGGGGACCCGCACAAGCGGUGGAGCAUGUGGUUUAAUUCGAAGCAACGCGAAGAACCUUACCCGGUCUUGACAUCUGAUUGACCGACCAGUAAAAUGGUCUUUCCUUCGGGACAAUCAAGACAGGUGGUGCAUGGUUGUCGUCAGCUCGUGUCGUGAGAUGUUGGGUUAAGUCCCGCAACGAGCGCAACCCUUAUCUUUAGUAGCCAGCAGGUAGAGCUGGGGACUCUAGAGAGACUGUCCGGGAUAACCGGGAGGAAGGUGGGGAUGACGUCAAAUCAUCAUGCCCCUUAUGAUCGGGGCUACACACGUGCUACAAUGGCGUAAACAAAGGGAUGCAAUCCUGCGAAGGUGAGCCAACCCCAAAAACAGCGUCACAGUUCGGAUUGUAGUCUGCAACUCGACUACAUGAAGCCGGAAUCGCUAGUAAUCGCAAAUCAGAAUGUUGCGGUGAAUACGUUCCCGGGUCUUGUACACACCGCCCGU